rnacentral:rRNA from 1 species
AUGGCGAGCGUCGGCCGCAGCAGAUCGAGGCGCAGGGGAGAGGUCGGCGGGCCGUUCGAGUGGGACGCGGCCCCUUCGGGGGACUACUCCGCCGAUCACCAUGGGGCUGGGUCAUCGAGGAAACAAGCAAGUAACUCUGGGAUACUCUCCCACACUCUGUUUGACGAGGAAAUCAGGAAAAGUAAACCAAGACAGUCCAGCUGUGUACCGAUGAAAAAGCUAAUAGAUGAAGAGUUCUUGAAAGAUGUCAAUGCCAGGCAUACUUCACCAGGUGCUGUAGGAAGACUAAUGGGUCUUGAUUCACUCCCUACCUCGUCUGGGACCCAUAGCCAGCACAGAAGUAGCAGAAGUCAUGCACACAAGACGCCAUCUUUUAUUUCUCAUGAUAGAUAUGUUCCACAGAGGAGAAAGAAUGAUGAGAUGCCAGAGGUCAAAGAUGUUUUUGAGGUUAUGGAUGUGAUGGGAGUAAAGGCACACCGAAGCCCAAGAGGUAGAAAUGGAAAUACAACUUCCAGAUUUGAUGCAGCUGAGAAGGCUAAUCUAGAUUUCAUAAGGCACAAAUUUAUGGAUGCAAAACGUCUUUCUACAGAUGAAUCCCUUCAGAUGUCAGAAGAGUUGAAUGAGACACUUGAUGCAUUGGUAUCUAAUAAGGAUCUUCUUUUGGAAUUUCUUGAAAAACGCGAUCUGGGUUCUGCCUCCUCUAAUGGAAACUGCAUUACAAUAUUGAAGCCAUCUAAAAGAAAUCAAUUUAUUGAUGCAGACAACAUCUGUUCACAUGAUAAUGAUACAGAAAGCUUUUUCCGCAAGCAAAAUGAAGUGAAAUACCCCACGAGGAAACCACAUACUAAGUUAUCCAGUCAAUCCCCAAGAGAAGACUCUGGUUCAUCGAGGCAGAAACUAUCAAGGUCAAGUCAGGAAAUCAGUGAUAAACGAGCUUGUCCCACACGGAUUGUUGUCCUGAAGCCAUGCUUUGAGAAAGCUCAGGACCUUGAAGGAUCCUUCGGCCUACCACAUGAAAUCCCUCAUUCUGAUUACAGAAGGCACACAGCAUGCCAGUGUGCUGGCAUGUGGAGUCCAUAUACUGAUGAGUCCAUGUGUCAAGUAUCCCCUGGCGAUCCUGAAACGUCAGGCCAUAUAAAAAAGGGAUCUAGAGAAAUUGCUAGAGAGGUUGCAAAACAAAUGAGAGCUGCUAGGGGCCGUGUUCUCCAACCAGACACCAGCACAAUUUUGUCAGAUGAAAGCUCACAGUUUGUGUCAUCUCUUGCUAAGGUCAAGAAUUCGGAGAGAGUCCAUAGGUCUUCUGAAUUAUGUGACGGUUGGGCUUCUCCCACCUUCAACACUUCGCCAGCAUAUUCAAAUGACACAUCAGUCAUAAAUGAAGCAAAGAAACAGCUCUCUAGCAGAUGGAAGAUAGCGCAUCAAUUUCAGCAUCAAGAACCUGAGAAUAAUGGCUUCGGCGUGCUUGGAGACAUGUUUGUUCUCUCUGACGAGGAAACAUCAGAAGUUGCUACCCAAACAAUGUCAUACCAGAAAUGUCCAAAGGGAGAACUGCAGCGAAACAGAGUGCCAGUCUCGUGUAGCAAUCCUCUUGGCAUCAGCAGCAAGGAUGGUUGGAGAGGUGUAGCUCCAAGCAAUUCAGCAAGGUCUAAAUCUCUUCCAUCAUUCUCUAACCAUGGAGUUCAAAAGUCGAGCAACAGAAAAAGAACGGGUAGGCAAAAUGAGUUUUCUAUGCUUAAAGAUGUUCUCAAAAUAGGACCCCAUGAUUCUGAGUACGCAUGUCAUAGUAGACAAAGAAAAUCCCUGGUCGGAGGUUCACCUUUUCGUGGUGAUGAAGAUCAAGUGCUCCCAGAUGAUGAGGGAAGAACCAUGAUUGACCAUGAGAUACAUGUGAGUUCUCAGGAAGCACCAGAUGUUAUUGACAUGCCAGAUUCAUCUGAACAGACACUUGCACAUACCGUGAAUUCUGGCCAUGAAUUAGAUGGAGUGCGUCAUCUGGAUACCAGUUCUGCAGUUUUUCAACAGAAUAAAGAACCACUUUCUCCUGCUAAACUGAAUCAGCACAUGCAUCAACAGCCAUCGACAGCAUUUGAUUUCUGCCUUCAUGUUCCUAAUUUUGACAAUCUGCUGGCUCAGGCCGAGGGGAUUGAAAAUCAUGUGGAUGAUGUUUACGCAGCUCUGUUUAAUCCGCCAACAGAAACAGAAUCUCCUGUGGGGAUUGACCACCAUCAUGGUGUUGACAAUGACAAUCAAGCCUCGUGGAUUCACCCGACAGGAUCAGAAUCUCCGGUGAGCUUCAACAAUGAUGAGCAGCCAAGUCCAGUGUCUGUUCUUGAAUCUUCCUUGGAUGCUGAAGAAGUUUACUCAGGAGAUUUCGAGAAAAUUAGUGCCGAUCUUCAAGGACUGCGAAUGCAACUUCAGCUUCUCAAGACGGAGACCACAGACGAUGCAGACGACACCGAUCAUCUUACAGCGAGCGACGACGAGGUUGCCUCGGCAGAUGAGCCACUUGCUGAAAUGGAGAUACUACCCCAUGCUUUCGUGGAUGAGGAAGAACGAGAUUUCUCGUAUGUGCUUGAUAUGCUCACCUUAUUGGGCAUUGAUGACGCUUUCCAGGACAGGCUACUCGACGUGCGCUGCUUUUCGGAAUAUCCUGCUGGCCCUGAUAUAUACGAUAUACUUGAGAACAAGUACAGCAGCCUCAUUCUAUGGCCGGCGUCGGAGAGGAUGCUCCUGUUUGAGCUCACAAACACCGUGAUUGCAGAUCUGAUAGCCUCUCUGGUGCAUCAUGGGUCAAAGGGGUUGCUGCGAAGGUUCUCAUCCAGGUGGGAUCAGGAGGGGUUUGUCGUUGAUGUGUGGCAGAGGGUGUUCGAGAUACGGCAAGAGAUGGACGGUAACCAGGGCGACCCGCUGAUGAUGGACUUCGAGCGGCAUGGCUCUGAGGAUGGCGUCGAUCUUGUCGGGAGGGAGAUGGAGAGGAUGUUGCUUAAGGAUCUUGUGGUGGAAACCAUUGCUGAGUUCCUGGGGACAGGAUAA